CGUUUGUUGGUGGUGUUAUUUUUCCGAUUCGAACCCACUUCGUGUUGGUGUUUGUGAACCUCUCGCGUCAGAAAAGAAGAAAUCAGUGCUGGCAGUUGUUGGUGUGUGCUCAAAGGCUCUUCUAAACUGGGAAGACGUGGAAGAAAAUCGACAAAAUAAAAACACUGGAUCCCGUGCGAUCUGGACGUUGAACGCUGGUCGGAACAGAGGAACGGGAACGACGACACUCUCUGCCGUGCUACGGACGGAUCGGACCGUCGAGACGAAGCCGAGGGAAGGCGAAAGGAAUUCGGUUGUAACGCAGCGGGAAACCUGAUUUUUGCUUCGCUUGGAGAGUGUACGCGCGAGCCGAGAUUCAGCAGCAUCAGCAGUCAUCCAGGAUCCUGAUUUCAACGGCCAUUCAUCGAUUGCGAUAACAAG